rnacentral:lncRNA from 1 species
GAGAAUGAGCAUCUAGAUAUAACUUCCUUUUGUUGAAACCUAGGGUGGUCACCUUGCUGAUUUUGAAUAUCCUAGAAGGUUACAACAGUUACCACAAUGUAGCUCAAUCAUGUAUGCUUAUUUAAGCUUGGGAUGCAACUCAAAUUGUGUGAUUUAAGUAUUUCCAUAAGAACCCCACACUCAAGAAAAAGCAUACACC